CCCCGAGAAAGCACUAGUGAGAAAGCCGAGCCGCCGUGGGUGCGGAGAAAACCGAGUUCAGUGCCAAAGCCUGGGUGUGCAAAGAAAGACGCUGGCUUCUGUCGAACUCCCAGAAGGCAGAUGCUAGAAUCUGCAGCCCGGGUGGAAAGCACAAACGUGGCCGGGAGGUUUGCUCCGUGCACCUGUGGUAUAGAGUGCGCUCACAGAAGAGCGGAAAGCAUCCCUUUGAAAAGUGUUGAUGCCCUCACCUUUCCGACGGUGGCUAGCUAAAUGGAAUGAAAGAUUUUUAAAACAUUAUUAACUAAACAUCACAGGAACCUCUUCUCAUACCUACUGUUGUAAUAUGGUACCUUCAUCCAUCUUCACAGUACGUCUGUGACCUUUACCGUAUCUCCAAUAGAAAACACAUAAUUCCCAGCUUUCGAAGAAGGCAAUGGAGGGCCAGGUAAGGACGGAUCCAAAGUCACCCAGCUGCUGAGCAGUGCAGCUGGAAUGCCCGUGUCAAGCCUCCCACACUUUCAGCAAGUCCUAUUCUUCCAAGCAGACGUCUGCGCCCAUCAACUCCUUCUCUGCAAAUGCUGUGGGAAUGCAGGUGUCCCAGAAUCCCGGGUCAGUCGGCUGCUGUCUGGUUAUGGCCAAGAAAGAAGACAAAAGGGGAGGUGGAGAGUGGCAGGAAGGAGCAGGCCAGAGAAUGCCAUCUCCUUCCUCUUGCCUAAUGGCAUCAUUUGCUGGGCCGCACCUAACUGGAUCCUUUGUCGGGCGACCUCAGGCCCUGGGCCCAGUAAACAGUGACUCUUCUUACGAACUGUUCAGUCUGGCGGUGUUGUUAGCUUUCUGCUGGGAUUAAUCCCUGAGUAACUUCACCUUGAUACAUAGGCGAGCAGAGAGAUGAAAGUCCUCUGGAAUGUUCUGCUGGAGGGAGCAUUCAAGCAUGGCCAAACUGUGGAGGGCCAGAAAGGUGAGGCAGUCUAAGGGAGACACAGUCACAUGAAGAAUUGCUGUACAUCCUAAGCCUGGGUCCCUUGAGCAUUGAAGGGUCGACUCAGGAAAAUGGCCAGUUUGCGUCUUCACGUUGGUUCUUCAACUCCAGCUGAGGUCCCAAAAGAGUUAUUUCUCCUGAGUGUAGCUGCUUUGUCAACCUUGAGAGGAUGGCAUGGGGCCGAAUCCUGCCAAAAACAGUCCAAGGUGGCAUGGAGCCAGCCAGCUGGCUGCUAAGCAGAGCCCUCUCCCAGCCUCUCUAGGCCCCCUCUGGUUCCCUUUUACAGCUGUCUGGCCUCAGGUAAUCAUUGGCACUCUGCGGGUCCCUGGCUCUUUUCAUUCCCAUGUUUCAGAUCACUUUACACACAUUAAUUAAGCCUUAAAACACUCAGGAAAGGAAAGCCAAAGGCAGUGGGGAUGUUUGCAACAUGCUUCUCCAUGCUCUGGCAGGAGAGCUGGCUGCCCCGCCCCCUCACCCAGCCCCUCUCUCACCCAGGUGAAGCUUCUGUGUUCUCUGCGUAGUCAACACACAUCUACAUGCCACAGAAAACCCCGUUCAUUACUGAUUUAGGACAAUCAACCUCCCCAUUGAGGUUACCUGCCAUAGCUGAGCCAUGCCACCUUUGGAAGUGGAGCUGUGGGCAGAUCUGGCUCAAUGUUUCACACCCAGAAUGAAUGUCCCCAGUUUAUACCUCUGUGACCAUGGUCCAGGGCCUUGGAAUAAGAAGAUCUUAGCCCAAGUAAGGUAGGCAGUGCUGAGCAAGGAAGCCUGAGGUUGACCUCUCACCUCCACAUGCACAUGCAUACAGAGAGGGGUGGGGUAGGGAUGGAAAGAUCUUGAGAGACAGGGAAAGACCUUAGCCCAGAUCUAGCCCCUCAUGGAGUGGCCUUACAACUAUUGUUUCGCCUCCUAAGGCUGACUGUAUCAUCUGUAACACGAAUAGGAUGACAUCCAGUGCCUCCCCCAUGAUUUCUGGGAAGGAUGAAAUCAGAGCAUAACAUGCUAAGCAUUUGGCACAGAAAAGGCUAGGUAUUGGGACCUUUUCACGCCAUCUUGUAUCUAAUCCCAAUCAGUCUGAAUUAAUGUCGUUUUGCUACUGAAGUUUUAGAGACCCUGCAGUUCCAGCUGAUAUUGGUGUCUAUGAGAUGAGAAGAUAGGAAAUCCAAAUGAAGCCUGCAGUUUACUUAACGUUUUUUUUUUUUUUUUUUUUUUUUUUUUUUUUACCAACCAUUAAUCCUUAGUUUAGAUUAAUCUAUGACAUUUGAGCCAUUGGCAUUACAGGAAGUUGGGUAAGUGGAAUGCACGAACUGUGUUUUAGUGAAUAAUCAUAAUCUUAUUUUGAGUGCAUCAAAAUUGGUAAUGGUAUCCAGUAAGGCUAACACUUCACCCACAUUUUUAGUGUACUAUUUUAAAAAUACCUCUAUGGCUUCCACGAAAAUAAUAAAUGUCAAGCCUUUUGUUACCAAAAUAAGAGACAAUUUAUGUUAGCUCCAGCUGUUAUCACCACCAAGGAAAAUUCAUCGAGCUUCCUGUGUCUGCAAAGUGCCAUAUUGUACAUUAAAAUAGCAAACAUUACCAUCAGGAGAAAACCAUUGCUUGUGUGGCAGUCCAUUUAAGGUAGCUGUUUGUGUGUAAGAUAUUUGAUAACCUUACUAUUUAGGCCCCUAGCGCUUUCCUUAUUUCACAGAAAAUGGAUGGUUUUUCUAGCCAUGCCGCUCCAAGCCUUCCCCUCUGGUGAGAAGCAACUAGGAAGAACCAUCCUGUCAAAUAGCACUAUAGAUUAUACCACUUGCCACUCUGAAUGCAGGGUUUGCGAUGUUCACAGCAAAAUCACGGGGGCGGGGGUGGUGGUGGUGGUAGUGUGCUUUUUCCUCUGACUUCAUGGAGACCACAGGAUUUAAAUAUACUAUUUCCUCACUCUUUUAGUGCAUGCAAAUUAUGACAUUGUGAGGGGUCAGAAAGAGCCCUGCAUCUGGUGGGUGGCAGGGUGGCAAAGAACCUCGUUAUCUGUCACAUCAGAGAGUGUGACUGUCAUAUGGCCACCUUACAACCGGUUCAGCAGAAGAACCGGGGCUCAAGAAAAAGUGAACCCUGGGUUAAAAGUUGCUCAGCUCUCCAGUCAAUUCAAAUCCCUGGCAACACUUCGUGGUAUGUCAGCUGAGUAUCCGUGAGCAAAGUUGGUACCUGUGACCCAGGGUACUGUGCUGAGCCCCUGUCCUCCAGCAUGAGAACAUCAUUUGUUAUUGGGAGAGUGCCCUCUUCCUGUGCCCGGGGACUCCCCAAUGCUAGGAGGCAAAUUGACUUCCUACUAAAAAGUAAAAGGCCACAGGUCAUCUUCUCACUUCUCUUGAUGUUGGGGGAUAACGCAGAGUCCAGGUUUGUCCAGGAGCUAGUGAUGGGAAGGGGUGGGGCAGUACGUGUGAUGGUUAUUUCCCAGCGUUUCAUGUAGCCCAGGCUGGCUUCAAUGUCCCUAUUGGCUAAGGAUAGCCUUGAACUUCUGAUCCUCCUUCCUCCACCUCCAAGUGCUAGGAUUAUAGUCAUGUAACUAUAUGCUUGCCUGGAUGAUUAAUUUUUAUUAUCAACUUGAUUGGCUAAGGAACUCAUCAAUUCUCAGCCCUUUUGUCUAUGCUCAAGUGUGAACAAACACCCAGCACAUUAGUAAACCCUCCUUGGGGUGCAUCGAUGGCAGCAUUUCCAGAGAGGGUUAACUUGUGGGGGAUGGCCUACUGUGAGUGUGGCACCGUCUCAUGGGCUGUUGUCCUCCUAGCCUGAAUAUAAAGGGGCAAAGGAGAAAGCCAAGAGAGAGCAAGUGUUCCUCUCUCUUUUCCGGUCCUCCCUUAGGAGAGCCAGCAGCCUUCUAUGACCAGGGACAGGAGCUGCCCUGGCUGCCACGCCUCCUCUGCUAUUGUGGAGUGUAUCUAACCAUUUCCUCCUCAAGUUGCUUCGUCAGUCGUAGUUACAAGAAAAUGUACUAAUCUGAUGCUUAACAGAGUAGCUGAAGUGUGACAGCAGUUUGAUGGGACCACUGUUGGUGUCCACAGCAGGACCAUAGCCAUAACCUGACCUCUCUCCAGCAUGACUCCAAACCUUGAUUAGAAUACAUCACCUAGGAGCCACUUCCUCAUCUCUCAUAAAGAUUCCCAUGAGCCCCUCACCAUGGUGUAAAGAAAUGUCAGCUCCUCUGGUAGGUGCAAGUGUCUUGUCCCAUCAGCUACAUCUUAGAUACUAGUUACACCCACCAGCCAAUGUUAGUUUGGCAGUAGCAUUGGGUCCACGUGCAUCCCCCAUGCCUUCGGAACAACCCAGACAGCAUGGGGCUAUCUAUGACCACAAAAUGAGCUUGAACUAACUUACCUUGACCACUGAUGCUAAAUGAACUAAUCCAAGAAAAGAGCAAAUUUCAUCUCGCAUACCUUCCUGAAAUGGGUAAGGUGGGCAUGCUCCUGCAGGGGUAUUUCUGGCUUUCUCUGUUGUCCUAAAGAAGCAGCCCAGGAGAGCUUUGGCCAAAGGAAGACAGAGCAAUUAUGACAAAUGCUGAACAGAACAGAAAGACCUCCCUGGUUGCAGAGGAACUGUCAUUAGUUCUGUGUUUUUAUAGAGAAGAAACAGCCGGCUUCAUUCAGCCUCCUCUCUCUGUCUUAUAGAAACCCGGUCCCAUUGUGGUGAGCACUUGUAAUUCACCCAUUAACUUUUCCCUUGACAUUGGACUUCACAAUGAGAAACCUUCAAUGGGAACGGAUCAUCUUGUUUCAAAGAGCAAAGAGCUUUUCCUUCAAAGAUUCCUUCAAAGAUUGAGAAAACACGAACCUUCAUUGAUAAAAACCUAGAUCGCAGGUUUUUCAUAUUCUCCAAGCAAGUUAAACUCAGAAAUGGAAUCAUUUUUUUUAACAAAACAAAGAGGUGAAGAUAUCACUAAUCCUUUCAAUUAUACUCAUGUUAGCAACCAUGAACAUAGGCCCAGGAGCAAAUGCCUGUGUUCUCUAAAGAAAGCAGGGUGGAUUUAAGAGAAAUGGAGCAGAGGUCCCAAAGAAAGGCUGUCUGCUAUUCAUUUUGAAUUCUUCUGCCUCCCAUUGUUCAGAGAGCUAUGGCUCAGGGAGAAGAGCGGCCACGCCUGCAGGCGGAGUUGGGAAAAGUGCACCCCCACCCGUUUCCACCUAAGGCCCUCACUUGUCUAAUUCUUUUGACAACUGCAGAGAAAACCUUCACCCAGUAACCGUAGGAAUCAAUCGUCAGAUGCAUGGGACAAAGAACUUAGUGUGUUUUUUCCAGUUUUGAUGAAAAAGGGGAAAUGGUGUAGGAGUUCCUUUGUAUCUCUGUGUUGCUUUCAUUGGUUGAAUAAAGAGACUGCC